AGGAUGGUGAUGAUAAUGGUUGCCAACCUUACAGCUUGUGAAGAUUGAAUGAGUUACAUAGAGUGAGUGUGGCCCAUCCAAAGCCAGGACCUUUCUCCUUCGUAGACCCUGAACUCCUGCCUCCAGCUUUGGUCCCCUUUUCUUGUGAGUCUUUCGAAAGCUCUGCUCAAGUCUGAAUUUUGGAAUUGGCUCGUCAGCAGAUGACCCUCUGGGAAAAGCAGCCCCAAAUGCUAGAAUUACCUGUGGCCAUGUUGCACAACUCCAGGAGUCAUGGGUCUCGUACAAGAGGAUCAUUUAUGAGCAGACUUCCAUCUGUACUACUUUCAGUAAGUCUUGAUAUAAUAUUGUCAGGUCCACCUACCUAUCUGAUGAAUCCUUAUAUCCAUUACAGCUGGGAGACUGAGUCUUACUAAAGACCUGGAAGACUCAGGGUCCUGAACAGAAGUUAGCUGAGCAAUGGACUGGAUCUCUAUAACGUACUGUUGACAACACUUCCCUAAGGCUCAUGGGAAGCAAGUCUUGGAUCCACCACACAAAGCUUAAAUUGCACCUGCACAGAGAGGCCCUCCCUAAGCACCAAAUCUAAGCUCUGGAACCCUGUGUUGGGGGUUUGUCUGGUGCUGGGACCCUUUGUUUUUCACGGGAGGCCUCUGUAGCCAAGAUAUCCCUCCC